ACUGCAGCAUCAUGGAGUUUCUGUCCAUGUCACUGACAUUCAUUAAUGGUCCGAGGAAGAAAACAAAUCUGAUUCUUCCAAUGCGCUCUGCUGUUCCUGUUAGGUGAGUGCAGGGGAGCUUCUCGUCCUCUGUUCCCUGGACUCUAGAGACUGAACUGAUCAUCACCACAGCUGGAGCUCAGUGCAGCAACUGUUUUCAAGAGCUCAGCAGCAGCACAGGUGCAGCAUCCUGAACAGAGACAGAAGAUACCUAAUCUGUUUCUGACAGUUCAGCACCUUGGACAGCGACGGCCAAACAACUCCCAGGAUACUAGAACAGGACACUCUACGUGUACUCACCUGGAUACCAGACAUGGAUGGAUGGAUGGAUGGAUGGAUGGAUGGAUGGAUGGAUGGAUGGAUGGAUGGAUGGAUGGAUGGAUGGAUGGAUGGAUGGAUGUACACAAGUGGAAGUCUGGGGUCUUAUCUGAAGGCUCUGACUCCCUGUCAGAGCGAUGGAACAGUGGAGCUGCUUUGUGUUUGUAAUGUUGUUGGGUUUUCUAUUUUGAGUUGUAGUUACUUGUUUACACCACCAGAGAGAGUAUCCCCUAAAGAGAACACUGUGGUAACACUGCAAUGGGCUUCCUGUUGUCAGACAGAGAACAGCCUGCUGAAUAAACUCAGGUAACGUC